rnacentral:misc_RNA from 1 species
UUGAAAUAAACCUGAUGGGUUGUUGCUGGUUCUCUAGGGAGCAUGUGCACGCCUUGUCAUCUUUAUAUCUCCACCUGUGCACCUUUUGUAGACCUUUCAGGUCUAUGUUUGCUUCAUUUACCCCUUUGUAUGUUAAUAGAAUGUUGUGCCUAUAUAAUAUAUA